rnacentral:rRNA from 1 species
GAUAAACGCUAGCGGCAGGCUUAACACAUGCAAGUCGAGGGGCAGCAUAGAUUGUAGCAAUACAAUUGGUGGCGACCGGCGCACGGGUGCGUAACGCGUAUGCAACCUACCCGUCACAGGGGGAUAAUCCGGAGAAAUCUGGUCUAAUACCCCAUAACAUAUGGAUCGGCAUCGGUUCAUGUUGAAAUUUUCGGAGGUGACGGAUGGGCAUGCGUAGCAUUAGCUUGUUGGUGAGGUAACGGCUCACCAAGGCGACGAUGCUUAGGGGGACUGAGAGGUUUUCCGCCCACAAUGGUACUGAGACACGGACCGGACUCCUACGGGAGGCAGCAGUGAGGAAUAUUGGUCAAUGGGCGCAAGUUUGAACCAGCCAUGCCGCGUGCAGGAUGACGGCUCUAUGAGUUGUAAACUGCUUUUGUACGAGGGUAAAGUGGGUUACGUGUAACCUUUUGAAAGUAUCGUACGAAUAAGGAUCGGCUAACUCCGUGCCAGCCGCCGCCGUAA